CACCAUUUUCCAUUGUGCCAUGAUAAACAGUUCCAAAACCUCCUUUUCCAACUAUUGAAUGGAAGUUGUUUGUUAUGUGCUUCAGCUCUGCAAUCAUAAAGUAGUGUGUUACAUGAAAGUUUUGGGUGAAGCUGCUGUUUAAUGUCUACCACCUAUUCCAUUGAUGAAAGAGAGUUUCAGAGCGGAAAAUUUUGCUUUACCUUUCCAGCGCAAUGCCCAGAGUGUGCACAUCACUGCUAGGAGGGAUACCAUUACUACAGGAACUAUCACUGCGAUGACCAUGGUAGACUUGGUGUUCUUCUUAUUUGAACAGUAUGUAUCUUUGAUUUUUGAGCAUACGGGAUUGCCUUCUAACCUAGUGACACCAUUACACAACAGAUAGAAAAAAAAGAAUGAACUCAUAAGAUGUUAGCUACAAAAUUAUGAUUAGAAGAUGCCUCCAUUUUCUAACACGACUAACAGGCGAAACAUGUAUGCACUCUGGAAGAAUAAACUUCAUGGUUUCUCAUGCACUCUAAAA